GCACGCGAGGAGCGCGCGGCUGCUGGGCCGCCGUCCGGGGAGGCGUGGGCGAGCUGCGCCUGCCUGCCCAGAGCCGAGCCCGGCGGAGUCCGGCCGCGCGGUGCUGCUCUCUCCCGGGCCGGGCUCGUCCGUUCCCCCGGCGUCCGUGGACGCCGCUCCGUGUCCCCGCUGGGCACAGCAGCCCGGGCCCUCCACAGCCACGGCCGCUAGCCUGAGGAGGCCCUCCUUCAGCUCGCGCUCUUCCCGCUCGCCGGACCCGGACGACCAGGGCGCCCGCGAAGAUGAUUCCAUCUGGGAGAGCUUGCAGUUGCUACUGACCGCAUCUGCAGCACUGUGGAAUCAGAAAAAAUCUCCCUCAACUUGGCUGCUCUUG
rnacentral:lncRNA from 1 species